AGGACGAACGCUGGCGGCGCGCUUAACACAUGCAAGUCGAGCGAGAACCGGACCUUCGGGUCCGGGGACAGCGGCGAACGGGUGAGUAACACGUGAGUAAUCCACCCUUGGUACCGGGAUAGCCCGAGGAAACUCGGAUUAAUACCGGAUAGCCCGACAGCCUUUCGGGGCGGUCGGAAAAGGUAGCUUCGGCCUCCGACCAAGGACGAGCUCGCGGCGGAUUAGCUUGUUGGCGGGGUAACGGCCCACCAAGGCGACGAUCCGUAGCUGGUCUGAGAGGACGAUCAGCCACACUGGGACUGAGACACGGCCCAGACUCCUACGGAAGGCAGCAGUGGGGAAUCUUGCGCAAUGGGCGAAAGCCUGACGCAGCGACGCCGCGUGAGGGAAGAAGGCCUUCGGGUUGUAAACCUCUUUCAGGAGGGACGAAGCCACUCGGGUUAAUAGCCCAGAGGGUGACGGUACCUCCAGAAGAAGCCCCGGCUAACUACGUGCCAGCAGCCGCC
rnacentral:rRNA from 1 species